AUGAGCGGUCAUAGCGGCUUGGUUCCACCCGAUCUCAUUUAAUGCUGGUUUAUACCAGUUUUAGAGAUUUUCGAACUCGGAUAGUUAAGCAAGCCCACGUUCCAUAUUGUACUGUACUGCGUACGGGAAGUAUGGUUCGCUGCUCACC
rnacentral:rRNA from 3 species